CAGUCGCCACGGUAAUACGAAGGGGGCUAGCGUUGUUCGGAAUUACUGGGCGUAAAGGGCGCGUAGGCGGCCAUUCAAGUUAGAUGUGAAAGCCCUGGGCUCAACCUAGGAAUUGCAUUUGAUACUGUUUGGCUUGAGUUCGGGAGAGGUGAGUGGAAUUCCCAGUGUAGAGGUGAAAUUCGUAGAUAUUGGGAAGAACACCAGUGGCGAAGGCGGCUCACUGGACCGACACUGACGCUGAGGCGCGAAAGCGUGGGGAGCAAACAGGAUUAGAGACCCCAGUAGUCCCUGUCUCUUAUAC
rnacentral:rRNA from 1 species